GUUUCUCCGCAGACCUCGGGAAAGCGGCAGCGGCUGCCCUGAUCGUCGGAGCCGUCCUGUCUGCCACUGAGCAGCACCCUGACCUCUCAGCCUCGGUCCUGCAAGGUUUCCAGUGCAUCCCAGCCAGCGACCUGCCCGCUGCUGACAUCCUCGCGUUUGCCCAGGGACUGCAAAACGGAACAGUGGAGCUGAGCA